AAUAAAGGUAGCCUAUCCUCUCGUUGCUUUCGCUCGCCUUUCUCUCGAGCGCGCGCGCUCUCUCUCUCUCUCGAUCCUCUCUCCACCUCUCGGCCGCCGGCCUUCCGGCCAUUGUCGGCGGUCUCCGGCUCCGCCCAACACUCCCUCGUGUUAUCCUUCAUCCGACCUAUCUGCUCCGCCAACUCGAUUCGACGCUCGCCUCCUCCUCUUGCGCUCGUGGCUAACCCUAGCCGCCACUAUCGCCGGCGCACGGUGCCGUCUUGGACGCCGGCGCGACUCCGACGCCUCCUUGCACUCCUCCUCGAUGCCUCCUGCCCGCUCUCCCGUGUCACCGAGGCCGUCAAGCGCGAGGGCAUGCACUCCCGGUGGCAGCGAUGAUUUCCGAUCUGCGCCAUCUUCAAGGGCGCGGAGCAACGGAGGUCGGCUCCUUCUUCUCCCCGGUCACGCGUCGGGAGAGGAGUCAGCCCCCUUGUGUUUCUGCGCCAAGGUCAGCAACGGGGACGCUCGUUGACCGUCCUCUUCUUCGCCAUGGCCUGUCGAGGCCGGCAAGGAGGUCUCCAGCAUGCUCGAGGCCGCCGCCCCCGAGCUCAAAGAGAACUCGUUGAAGAUAAUCCAUGCCACCGCGUGGCUUCGAUCUCCAUCAUCUGCGUCGUUCUCGUCCUAUUGGAGCGAGCUGGGACCAAGCUCGAACAGUUUGUCGUGGAAAGAAAAGAGUGAGACUAAUAAGAUGGAUAUAUUCAAUGACAACGGUGGGAUGAAGUCAGGAAGUCACUCGAUCUGGAUGUGCGAGCCAUUAUAAGUGUAGCUGUUUUCAUCGGCCGAAGUACCAUCAUGCCUGAUAUGCAUGGCUCUUGGCCACUGCAGGACAAUGCUUAUUGACAAAUUUUUGCUUUGGGAAACAUUUCCAUUAUGCUGCCUGAGAUGGAUUCUUCAUUAUGCUGUCUUUGAAUUCCCACCAAAUUCAGUCGCAGAAGCUCAAAUGCGAAGGACGUCAAACUUCCUGGUUACAUUGCAAAGUUUAGUUACUGUUUAUUCCAAGAAAGAGUUUGUUUAGUCAUAUUCAGUGGAGCAACAAGCUUAUAUCGCUGCAGCAAUAGGGUUAUGUUUGGAGAACAUGUCAAAAGAAGAAUUAGAAAUGAAUAGAGAUGUAUUAAAUUAUAUUCUUCAAGGAGUAAGCUGUAGGUUAGAGAGCCCAAUUGAUUUAGUCCGGAAGAUGGCAAGUGCUGUUGCAUUGACAUUUUCUAAAGUCGUUGAUCCAAAAAAUCCUCUUUACCUUGAUGAUGACUGUUAGAAUGUUGACUGGGAGUUCGGGGUUCUCUCUCCAAAGGAGAUCACAGCUCCUUCGCAUGAUGUAGAGUUUGGAAGCAAAUCAAAACCAUCCAUGUAAGAACUGGAAACAUGCUGGUGACAAAAAGGGAAAGACUAUCAAGCAUGAUAUUUCAGAUAACAGAGUAAAAAUCGUAGAGAUCAAGUCAAAACUAGAUUCUGAUGAAAUGUCUGGCGCUGCUAUAAAUCUUGAGGAACACUAUGACAAGGAAAGCAUUAACAUUGAUGCUUCCAGUGAUUCAUCCCUGGAGCGGUAUGAUCUGUCAGAUGAUGAUACUGAUUUGCAGAAGAAUUUCACACAUCUAAGUGAUCUUGCAGCUGCACUGCGAAAACCUGACGAUCUAGAUGGUGGUUGAAAGCGCUCUUAGUUCUACCGAAAAGCUUGUGAGAGCAUCACCUGAUGAGAUGCCACUGCUCGGGUGAUCUUGUUCAAGCACUGGUACAUGUUUGUUAUUCUGACGUCGCGAUGGAAGGCGACAUAAGGCAUUAGUCGCUUUGCUGGCCAUAGAUAAAAUUCGACAAGAGAAGAAAUGUGUGCAGCAGAGGAACCAAGAUGCCAAAGGUUCAAAGCGGUGUUGCGCUGAAAAAACCAGGACAAUGUAAGAGGCUUAGCUUUGUGAGAGUAAUCCCAGGAUCUGUGUUGGCAAUGUCCUUUACUGGUGGUCUAAGAGUUUGAGACCCAAUAGAAUUUUUUCGGAUUUGGCGAGGUUCACGGAUGAUAUAAUUGAGUUACAUUUGAAUAGUCAGAGCUUAUAUGUGAUCCAGGGACCUCCUGGUCUAAAUGGAUCCCUAAUGCAUCAGAUAAUCCAAGCGGUGUUCAUAAGGAAGAGGCUCUGUCGAGUUGCGGCAGUCUUCUCGUUAGCACGAGAACGACCACAAGUCAUUCCAUGACCGUGGAUGCGAGUUCCUAGAAGAAACCCAUUCUCGGUGCCCUGUGACUGGGUUUCUCUACGAGCAGUAUAAUCGAUAUCCGAUAGAAUACAAAAAUUACGGGACGAGGAGCUGCAACUGCAGCUUGCUGAGCUAUUGCAUGGCUUUGCAAGAACUAGGAAGCUAACGGGAGAGUCUCAUGAAUCACAGUGACAGAUAACGUUUGAGGCAAAUUCCUUCACCUGCCCUGCUGAUGGGAAAUUCUGCAAUGAUGCCCAGCGGCACGCCACUCUCAAGCUAGAGGUCAAGCUUAGGAACUGUAGGUCCUGCUUCGUGAGCUAUGUCAGCGCUCAGAAAGCAUACAUCGAAACCCUUGAUGGCUGAUUGUCCAAGUUCAUCCUGACGGACACCAUUCGUUACUCCCGGGGGAUCUCCUCGAUCGCGCUCGACAGGGCCGGCGCUCUGCCCCUGGCGGUGAUAACGAGUGGUACACCAUGUUGUCGACAACCGGAUCCUCAACACUGACUCCGGCAUAGGUAUUCCUAUGCUCUGCUCUGCUCUCUCUCUCUCUCUCUCUAAUGCCACUGGGCCGUGUUACUGUCCACUCGACGUAUAACUGAUGCUUCAAAUGUUAGGCAUGAUAUAAGUAAAUCCUGUUUCCUUUGAAGAGAUAGAUUUUCACAUGAAGGAUGGCAUUACGGCAGUAGGAACACUCUCUUGUGUUGUUUGAUGUAACAUGUCGGGUUUCCACUGGCAUUAUACAUAUUUGGGGCUGGCGAGCAAAUUUAUGGUGAACAAUUUUUGUAUACACCUUUACCCAGCUAGCAAAAAAAUAAUCUUUUCCAUUUAGUAUUCCUAUGUCAACACAACCAUGAGUGUAACUUCUUUUGGAAAUGAUGUUAUUUACUACAAUGCUACCCUCCCAUCUCCUCGGAUUGGAGGGUUAAACAGAAAACUUGCAAGAGAAUGGUACACCAUGACGAUGUACACUGAAUUGAAGAUCCCCAGAAAGUGGAAAUCCGCCCGCUUCCAACUGAUGAUAAAAUUCUUGCAAUUGAGUAUCAAAUUGGUGGUAGUAAGCUCCAAGAAGAAGAGGUGCAUUGUGCUCAUCAGCCUGAGAAAAGUGUAACAUCCAACCACAAUCUAGAAAAUAGGCAUACAAAUUCGAAGGACCGAAAGAUGAAGAUGCAACAAUACUUGAGAGCUCAAGGUAUCCUCUUUGUUAUUAUAUUUUUUUCAUCAUUUCACACAUCGAUGUUUUGCUUCUUGAUAUGUUUAUUGGAUUGUGCAAGAACAAGGGUUUCAAUAUAUGCAAAAAAAAAUCGACAACAGUACAUGCGACAAAUGGUGCUAUCCGUGUUCACUGCAAUUUCCUCAUCCUAGAGAAAUACCUUACCAGGGUUGAGUGCCCAACAUACCCAAAGAUGGCACCCGAUACGCGCCCGCAGCCAGAACCAACGAAGUUGCAGUACAAGAAGCUGGGAGAUUCAGAUCUCCUUAUCGUCGAGAUAACUCUUGGAACAGUAUGUGUAGAGCUGAACCAUCAUGUUUAUGUUGUUGCUGUUGGUCGAUUUUUUUACAUCUUAGUUUAAUUUUUACUUCUUUUAGAUGAUCUUUGGAGAACAAAUUUCUGUUGUUGCUGUUGGUCGAUUUUUUUACAUCUUAGUUUAAUUUUUACUUCUUUUAGAUGAUCUUUGGAGAACAAAGCACAGAUACGGAAUCACAUGAUAUGCCCUCUUAUUCUUUUGGUCAGGGCAUCAACAUACUCGACGCCGUAGAAAUUGUUACCCAAUCCAACCCAAGAAGAAGACUCAAGGGAGGACUGAUCUAUAUGUAGGCAGGUAGAUGAAAUCCAAGAUAAAGUACCCUAAACCGACCUUAUUUGUUUACAGUUUCCGCGUCCAUUUGUACUAACCUGAUUUUCACUUCACAUGCUUCCGAAUCCAUUUGUAGUUCCCUGCCCACUAUGUUUCCGACCAGAUAAUUUUGGCCACCAAAAUUUAUGGUUAUUUAGAUCGCAAUUUUCUUUGGGAUAAUACAAAAAAGGUGUGUGUUGAUGCUCCCAAUAUAAAGAGUCAGACUUUUCUCAUAAAAAUUCAGGGAGAUAAAAUUUCUUUUGGAAUGUUACCAGUUUGGCUUGCUUUUGUACUGAACCAAGAUGAAGAUGAAUCAAGAUGGAUGAUGUUUACCAAACUGAAGCUUCAAAUAUGAGGCUUGAUGAUCGCGUUUGUGUUGUGUGACGUUACAAUGCUGGGUUCUUAGAUGUUAUGAAGUUUCAAAGUGUUCUACUGCUAUCUAUUUCCUACUCGCUCCGUUUCUUUUGUAAGGCAUAUUUUGAUUUGUUCAGAUAAUACUUUGAAUAAUAAUUCAGAAAGUAUGUUAUGAACAUAUUCUAAAAAAUAGUCUUGGUGUAAAUUGCAAAUUGGUUUCCAUCUAAUGGCAGCUCUCCCUUCCUUUUUCAUCCAUCUUUUUGUAGAUGGCAGGGUAAUGUAUCAUACAUUCACACUGGAAUUGAUUCUGUUCAAAGUGUAUUCACUUUUUUCUUUCUUUCUUAUUGAUCCAUCAAGGAAUGGCUGUAAUGAAUAUUUUAUAUCUCUACAUCCAAGAGAGCAAAGAGAUCCUAAUGUUUUAGUGUAUGCC